rnacentral:rRNA from 1 species
UACGGAAGGCAGCAGUGGGGAAUAUUGCACAAUGGGCGCAAGCCUGAUGCAGCCAUGCCGCGUGUAUGAAAAAGGCCUUCGGGUUGUAAAGUACUUUCAGUCGUGAGGAAGGUGUUAAGGUUAAUAACCUUAGCAAUUGACGUUAGCGACAGAAGAAGCACCGGCUAACUCCGUGCCAGCAGCCGCGGUAAUACGGAGGGUGCGAGCGUUAAUCGGAAUUACUGGGCGUAAAGGGCACGCAGGCGGUUAAUAAGUUGGAUGUGAAAUCCCCGGGCUUAACCUGGGAAUGGCAUUCAAGACUGGUUAGCUAGAGUCUUGUAGAGGGGGUUAGAAUUCCAUGUGUAGCGGUGAAAUGCGUAGAGAUGUGGAGGAAUACCGGUGCGAAGGCGGCCCCUGGACAAAGACUGACGCUCAUGUGCGAAAGCGUGGGGAGCAAACAGGGAUUAGAUACC